rnacentral:rRNA from 1 species
UACGUAGGGUCCGAGCGUUGUCCGGAAUUACUGGGCGUAAAGAGCUCGUAGGCGGUCUGUCGCGUCUGCUGUGAAAACUCAGGGCUUAACCCUGAGCUUGCAGUGGGUACGGGCAGACUAGAGUGCGGUAGGGGAGACUGGAAUUCCUGGUGUAGCGGUGAAAUGCGCAGAUAUCAGGAGGAACACCGGUGGCGAAGGCGGGUCUCUGGGCCGAAACUGACGCUGAGGAGCGAAAGCGUGGGGAGCAAACAGG